rnacentral:misc_RNA from 1 species
AAUUCCUAGACAGGUUGUUGAAAUAGACACAGCAGGUGGGAAGGACGAAUUAACUUCCUCGCAAGAUGCUGCUACUUGUUCCAUAGCUAUUGAUGAAAGGGUUUCAAAUAUCCACAAUAAUGAAACUUAUGAAAGAAAAGAGCUAGUGUCUUCUUCAAUGGUUAUUUCUGAAGAGUAUGUGCCGUUGGCUAUUGUAUAUGGGUUCUAUAACGG